AAAGGACUAUGGUCAAGAUCCUCAAAGGUGAUUGACAUCAUGAGGGUGAAUGUGGACAAGGUUUUGGAACGAGAGCUGAAGCUGUCAGAGUUGGAUGAUGCACUGCGGGCGGAAUUUGAGACCAAUGCUGCCAAGCUGAAAAAAAGUAUUGGUGGAAGAACUGUAAGAAAUGAGCAGUAUUGAUAGCAUUUGUUCUCAUUAUCAUCAUCAGUGGUAAGUGUUUAGCUAAAGCACUAUUUUGUCAGUAGGACUAGCGAACACGGGGCAUAAGCUGUAAAAAGAAGUUA